rnacentral:tRNA from 2 species
GGCACUGUGGCUUAAAUGGUUAAAGCACCUGUCUUGUAAACAGGGGGUCCUGGGUUCAAAUCCCAGCAGUGCCU